ACACUUACCUGGCAGGGAGAUACCAUGAUCGUGAAGGUGAUUUUCCCAGGGCGAGUCUUGUCCAUUGCACCACGGAUGUGCUGACCCCUGCGAUUUCCCCAAAUGUGGGAAACUCCACUGCACAACUAGUGGUAGUGGGGGACUGCGUUCGCGCUCUCCCCUG